rnacentral:rRNA from 1 species
ACGGCCAUACCAUGCUGAAUAUACCAGUUCACGUUAGAUCACCGAAGUCAAGCAUCAUUGGGCGAGAUCAGUACUUGGGUGGGUGACCACCUGGGAACACCGCGUGCCGUUG